UAGGGAAUCUUCCGCGAUGGACGCAAGUCUGAUGGAGCAACGCCGCGUGAGUGAAGAAGGGUUUCGGCUCGUAAAGCUCUGUUGUUAAAGAAGAACGUGGGUAAGAGUAACUGUUUACCCAGUGACGGUAUUUAACCAGAAAGCCACGGCUAACUACGUGCUAG
rnacentral:rRNA from 1 species